rnacentral:rRNA from 1 species
CCGUUCCCAUCCCGAACACGGAAGUUAAGCUCUUCAGCGCCGAUGGUAGUCGGGGGUUUCCCCCUGUGAGAGUAGGACGCCGCCAAGC